rnacentral:rRNA from 1 species
AACGAACGCUGGCGGCAGGCUUAACACAUGCAAGUCGAGCGCCCCGCAAGGGGAGCGGCAGACGGGUGAGUAACGCGUGGGAAUCUACCCAUCUCUACGGAAUAACGCAUGGAAACGUGUGCUAAUACCGUAUACGUCCUUCGGGAGGAAGAUUUAUCGGAGAUGGAUGAGCCCGCGUUGGAUUAGCUAGUUGGUGGGGUAAAGGCCUACCAAGGCGACGAUCCAUAGCUGGUCUGAGAGGAUGAUCAGGCACACUGGGACUGAGACACGGCCCAGACUCCUACGGGAGGCAGCAGUGGGGAAUAUUGGACAAUGGGCGCAAGCCUGAUCCAGCCAUGCCGCGUGAGUGAUGAAGGCCCUAGGGUUGUAAAGCUCUUUCACCGGUGAAGAUAAUGACGGUAACCGGAGAAGAAGCCCCGGCUAACUUCGUGCCAGCAGCCGCCGUAACAC